UUUUUUAUUGGUGUUCAAUUUGCCAGCAUAUAGAAUAACACCCAGUGCUCAUCUCGUCAAGUGCCCGGGCACUGAGGUGGGCAGUGGAACAUAAUUAAGAGAGUGGCUAGAGAAUCAUGGCCAGAUCAUGAAGGGCUUCAUCCCUUGGGCUAAGAAAUUUGACCUUUAUCUUAAAAAAAGAGAUGAACCAAUAAAGGGAAGAGACAGCAGAACUGUAAUAUAGAAAUGGUAUCGUGUAUGAAAGAAAGAAAACUCUGGGAAGUUCGCAAAAGUCAGUAAGAUUCUGUGUCCCCAUUUGCUUCAUCUGACAUUGAUUUUUGGCCCUUGGGAUGGCAUUACAGAGCAUGUGGAGACUAGUCCGGGCUCCACGCCAGUUCGUGGUGCCAGUCUGCCUCUCCGGGAGAUUUACCGCAAUGACCUUCUUCAAACUCUCAGACUGCUGUGCUUGUUCUGUACUCUGCUCUGUACAGUGAUCAUCCGGGCAGCCGCCUUCCUGGAACACGACCUCUUUGCAUAAGGUCACAAAAUAAGGAAUCCAGAUGGUGGAGAGCAGUGUAAAUGGCACUUGGAGACGGGAAGAGAAUGUGUGUGCAGAGGCAGUCAGCAUGCCCCACAUGUGCAUCUCAAAAACCGGGAGGCAGGAAAGGAGGUGGGAAACGUGGGGAAAAGCGAGAGGAGAAGAUCCAUUGGUUCUCUUCCAUGAGAGCACUGCUGCACGUUCUAUCACGCAUUUCCACAUAGGAGAAGGUAAGUUACACUGAGAUAAACUGUCUCAGUGCAAAGAUGAAGCAGUAGCAAAUAAAACAAAUCACAUGGGUUUGCUUGCUUCUUUUUCCAAUCUCUGUUCUCCAGGCCCAUAGCAGUCUGCCUGUCACAUCAAGUUAAACAUUCUGCCUUGGAAAUCAUGCAGUCACAGAGCUUAAGGAAGCUUGCAAAUGGAAAUGUCAUUACUUUAAAGAAAAAAAAAAAAAGGUCUCAAGUCCUGUCCUAAUCACCUCCUAUUAUUGCUCCUAUCUGUAGCAUAGCCUGUGCACUAAUGCACUUCAGACUCACCAAAAGCCUCGGAAACUGCUCGGGAGAACAAUUUGAUACCUAAUGAUCCCUGAAAAAUUCCUUUCAUGUUUUUCUCUGGACACUGACUUUAUAUAUUUUCCUUGAGAAAUUUUGGGUACGGCUAAUUAAUAUACACACCAGAAAUGUUACAAGCGUGUGGAAAUUAGUUUAUCUGGUUUCAUGAAUACUGGCUCCCUGCUCCACAGGAAGCCAUGUUUUUUUCCUCUCACAUACACAUUUUAUGAGAGAUUUCUCAUAAUAAAUUUAAAAGUUUAAAACUUUCACCCGAGCUGAGGUUCCUCAAUUUUCAUCAGUAAGUUCAUUGGCCAGGAUGUGUUACAGCGACAAAAGUGAUUUCAAAAUUGCUGGCUCAGUGACUCUCAGCAUAGCAAAGAAGAAAAGUCUUUCAUGUUGUUACUGUCCUCAAACAUACCCUUUCUGCUCAGAUGUAACCCCUAGUUCCUCUUAUUUGGGCCACAUUUCCUAUUUCACAGCUAUACAGAGACAGGUUCUGGAAACUGUAUGGUAAAGGUAAGGUUCCUACGUGUAAUGCAAUAGGUAUAUUUCUACAAAACAUGCACGAACAAGGGUUUUGUAAGCACCAUUUAAAACUAUUGGAAGGGUAUUUUCUAGGGAUCUUUCUGUGGAUCUUUUCAAAAAACAAGAAGCCCUUUAGAAAAAUAUCCGUCUCUACUUCAUGUGUUCUAAUUUCAGGUUUUCAUGGACUAAUUACAAAAACUGAUGGAGGCCACCAUUCUUUUUCCUUGAUUGAGCUGACUUCACACCCACAUAAGAGCCAAUCAUGCUUGGCUGUUAAGCUUUACUAAACAAAGAUAUUUGCAAUAUAGACUACUGAAACAGAAAACUUCCCCAUGAGUCAGUAGCCGACCCCAGCAAAAGAUUUCAUGGUUCUGACUAACCAGCCCACAACCUUUCGUACCCAGUUCCGCUUUUUUUGGUGGUCUCUACAGUCGAAUUUCUAGUUAGGAACUGAAAAAUUGGUUUGGUUUCAACUUCCGUAGGGUAAGUAGUGGUACUAGCCAUGAUACCCUGGGAGUUUCAGGAUCUCAAACACGUGAACACUUCCCCUACCUGAAGCCCCCACUCUAAUCUCUGCCCCAUGGCAUUCCAAACGGACAUUGUAUAUGAGCAGAGAAGGCCAGGCAACAAAGACAUCUUGUUAGUGGGACUCCUGCAUCAAACCCUGGGGAGCUGGCUUGGAAUGUCAGCACUCUCACUAAAGGAUUAGUUCCUAAUUCUCCUGAAUCAUCUUAAUCACCUAUGGAGGUCUGGGUUUUGUAGUUUCAAGUCUUGCCUCAGACCAAUCUCCAGGCAUAGGGCCCUGGAUUCUGUAUUUUAAAAGGCAUAUUGGCCACGGUCCCCACUACCCUGUCUCUCCUGUUCCCACUACCAUGGGCAUUAAGGAAGUAUGGGUUGGAGUUGGAGAGUGGAAAGCCAGCGAUGUCUGGAAGCUGCCUUAUACCAGCUUGGGAGAGCUGACUGUCAAAAGCAGCAGACUGUUUCAAGAAUUUUGCAAGGCCUUAUUAAAAGCUAAAUCAUACAAGCUUAUUAUUUAAUAAUUAUCAAAACCAAAAGCAAUACUCACAGUUCAUCACCUCCUACUCAUUUACUAUUAUCUAUGUUCUUACAUAGAUACACCAAUGGUGUAUCUAUGUUCUUGAGGUUUUUCACAUCUAUUGUAUCUGUACCAAUGGUGGGCAUCUGUACCAAUGCUAUAUAAUGGUGUACGGCUGCGUGCCUCUUCCCAACUCUGCGUUCAAUGACAUCACAUUGGUAGCUUGAGGGCAGAGCAUUUAUACAAUAGGCAAAAGCUAAAAAUCAGGGCUUGAUUUAUUGUUGACUAUCUCCAGGCUUAAGAAAGUGACAGGAAAAUGUAAAUAAUGUAGACUGAACUUAAAAAUAUGUCACACGUAGGGGUUCAGGGUGGCACAGUCAGUUGAGUAGACUGACUCUCGGUUUCGGUUCAGGACGUGAUAUGGAGACCUGUGUCUGGCUCCCGGGCUCAGUCAGUCAGGAGUCUGCUUCAGAUUCUCUCUUCCUCUGCCCCUCCCACUAGUGCUCGCUCACUCUCUCUAAAAUAAAGAAAUAAUUCUUUAAAAAGCAAAGGUCACAUCUAUAGCUGGCAGAUUGCGAAUAGCACAAAACUUCAGGAAAUACUCUUCCAGUAUCUGAAAAUGGCCCAAUUUCAGUAAAGAAGUGGCUCUCUCUUCACUGACAAACAAGUGAAAUUCCAACAUAUCCCUUUGUUGUUUUAACUUUCAUCUUAGUCUUUCAUAUAAAGUAAAAUCAAGCAACAUUCCUGCUGGAAAUCAUACUUAUUCAUCAACUGCAAUUACAGUUUGGCUAUGGAUAAAAGAGUUCCAUAAAAACCAACGAUUGCAGUCUGUGAGAACCAAUGAGCUAUAUAAAAUUUACAAUAAAGAGGACUGUAUGUUCUAUUAUUAUUUAUGAAUUGCAUAUUUUAUUGCAUAUUAUUAAUGUAUUUAUACAUUAUUAUAAUUCAUAGUAUAUAUAUUCUAUUCAAUUUAAUUGUAUAUUUUAGUAUUUGUAUCUCAGUAAAAUUUAUAAUACUUACAUUUGAUUAUAUGUAAAUAUACAUUCUCCCCCAGAGAGCCAGUUGUUAAACAUUUACAACACACCACUGCCUAAGCCAAGAACAAAAACAGGUUGAACAGCUUCCUUGGCUUCUAUCCUAUAGGUCCACACCCUUAUCUUAGCCGUUUAGUUUACCAUUCUCCCGUCAAGAAAAACACCAAGAACUGUACAGGAAUACAAAUCAAAAGGAAAAGAGAUUUUCCUAAAGAUUCAAAACAUAAUUUAAUCUACUUAAUCCAACUCUUCCAAAGAAGGCUGCUUUCCAAGUAGGGACAGCUUUGGGCUGAUCUGACCACACCUGCCACGUGGAACACAAGAAGAACCCUAACAGAUGGCAGUUUUGGCAUCAUAGCCUAAUACAUAUCAUCCCCCUUGAAGCUACAUCAGAUAGUUCCUUGGGAGCAGAGGAGAGGUGAAUAUGAAGGCAUCCAAGUAGGUAGCGAACAAGAGGAAUUUGACUCUUACUGUCAACUGUGGUAUAUGUUUGGGGUACAUAACAAAAGGAUCAGUGAGGAAUUCCACUUUUCAUCAACCAGAUUUCUACUUUUCAUCAUUUACACAUGCGUGCCAUGGCUCCUUACAUAUUAAAAUUGUCAUUGCUUGUGAUUUAAAAAUGUCUUUCUAAAGGUGAAACAGAACAGUUACCAAGCCAAGAUGUACAGAAAUCUUAAAAAUUCUGUUACUUUGGGGGCACCUGGGUGACUCAAGUCAGUUGAGCAUCUGAUUCUUGAUUUUGGCUCAGGUCAUGAUCUCAGGGUCAUGGGAUCCAGCCCUGUGUCAGAGUCUGAGUUGCGCUCUGUGUGGGUGUGGAGUCUACUGAGAUUCUCUCUCUCCCUCUCCUCCUCCCCCCACCUUCGUGCACUCUCUCUCAAAAAAAAAAAAAAAAAAA
rnacentral:lncRNA from 1 species